UCAAGAUCAAGGUCGAGGUCCGCCGCGUGCCCUGAAGUGCCCUGGCAGUGUUUCUCGUGGAGGAGGAGGAGCCCCUCGGCGUGCAGGCCCCCAGGGCGGUGGCUGAGUGGUUAGCGUGCCGGUCCAGUAUUCACUGCGUCGUGGAUGAUUUGGGUUCGAAUCCGCCGCUACCACCUGGGAUUUUUCAGUCACCGCCGAGUGGCCCAAGACCACCGACAUGCUGUCCUGAAGACCACCCAUCAACGUGGACUCUAAAGGAACUGUCAAAGGGAAAUCAAGAAUGAGCUUCCGGGCGCAGCAUGAGCCAAGAAUAGACGGCGCCAGUAUAAACACUUGCCUGCACCACGUCGGGCUUGGGCCAACCACCACUCUUCCUAUGGCUAUUUAUUACCCACAAAAAAUGGAAAUGUGUACAUUUCAGGAUAAAUAAAAGUACGAUGAAAGAGAAGGUUUUUGCCUUAGGCCAGUAUUUAUGUUAUGACUACAGUACCCUCUCCAGUUUCGUGCUCGCUUCGUUCCGAAGGUGUAGCGCUAAACUCGAGGGUCGCGAAACUCAAGGUAUUAAAAACACUGAAAAAGCGCUUAUUUGUUCCGACCCGUGGAGUUUUUAAAAUUUUUUUAUGUGGCUUAUGGCGCCGGUAAACUAUCCAUCUGAGCCUAAUGGUCGGCCCCGAGCCUGUCAUGGCGCAGGCAACUGUUUAUAGUGGUGCCAUUAUAAUUGGGUCAUGCUGCCCCCCGGAGCUCACUUUUUUUCCUCCUUUACUCCCUUGUUAUCUCAAAAUACGUACCUUGGAAAAAGAAAGGAAACAGAAAGAGAGAACGGGUCAUUUUAAAGCCACAGAUGAAGCCUUACGAUUGGCUGAGCUCUGAAAACACGCUUGUGAUUCGCUGGGAGUCCAAUGACAUCAUCGCCGGCGCUCACCCAAUCAGCGGCCUCACUGCCUUAUUAACCCGUAGGCUUCGGCUAUGGGAAGGCCGAGAAGUGCCCGAGAAACGACAAAACUACUCUGCAUUUUGAGACUAAGAAAAGAGCAUGGAACGUACAUCAGAGUACUCCUCUCAUAACCAUAAAACCGUUACAAAUAUUUACUUUUACUCAAACUCCAUUCUUUUUGGGUGAUGUUUGUUACAAAAUAAACAGUCUCGUGAUGCGUGGCAUCUAGCCGAGAGUCGCUUGUUGUGUACUACAGAGAAUUUGCCAAGUGAUCACUGUAUGGAUAGCUAAUUCAGUAUGCCACGACCUUACAGCACCACCUAUGACAAAAAAGCCCACCUCAAGAUCACCCACCCACCACAUUGACCUAGGGCAUUCAUGGUGGGUUGCGCUAUGCCACCACCGCCUACAAUUAGCUCGAAUUAGGCGUUUUAUGGCGAGCCCUUUUUAGGGUCCACCGUACCACAGCCACGACUCGUGAAAGCCUAAAAAAGGGUCUGCCCACGUUCUCGGGUUAAGGAGGGCGCCCGGGGGGGUCCCUCCUGGGCACACAGUACAAAGGAACACAAAGGAAGAACAAACAACAGCAGACCUGCUGGUCCUUACGAAGUUGUUUGUGACAAGCUACACUAACUAUCUAAUCAAAGGUGGAAGAUGAAGGACAGCAAAUGCGAAGGCUCCUCCCCACCCCCCCAUCCCUCCAGCCAAAGCUGUCAGGAAAGGAAAAAGAACCAUGCAGCAUAGAAAAACUGCAUGGAAUUUAUGUAGGAAAGAGGAAAGAACUACCAUUACUGCUACCACUAACCGGGCGAUAAAAGUGGACAAAGACACCAGUAUUCGAAAGAACUUAACGUUAUUAUGACAAUGAGUAAUAUCUUAGUUGCUGGUUGGAUUCAAAACACUUGUCUAAUCUUUUCUUGAAGGCCGUAACUGUUGUACUAUCAACGACAUCACAAGGUAGAGAGUUCCAAACAUUAACAACUCGAUUGAAGAAGAAGUGUUUAGCUUCGUGCGACGAGAAUCUUUUACCACUUAUCUUCAAAUUGUGAUUUCUUUUUGUUCUAUUUGAUCGAUCAAUUGUAAAGUAAUCUUCCGCAUUAAUAUCACUGAAUCCUUUAAACAUUUCAAACACUUCUAUUAGAUCGCCUCACAUUCUUCGUUUUGGUAGGCUGAAUAAAUUUACUUCUUAAAGCCUUUGUUCAUAUGACAAAUUUCUCAACCUAGGAAUCAUCUUUGUUACUCUUCGUUGGACCCAUUCCAACUUUUCUAUGUCUUUUCUGUAGUAGGGAGAACAAAAAUGUACACAGUACUCUAGACGGGGUCAAACCAACGAACUAUACAGUUUUAAUAUUACUUUUUCUGAUUUAUUAUUAAAGACUCGUCCAAUGAAGCCAACCAAUUUGUUUGCAAUUUUAACUACCUCUGAACAAUGCUGACCGGGCUUUAAAUCACUUGAUAUAGUGAUUCCAAGAUCCUUUUCUUUACUUACUGCAGAAAGUUGUUGGCCAUUCAUUACGUACCGAACGCGAUUGUUAUUUUUUCCGAUGUGCAACACUUUACAUUUGUCAACGUUAAAUUUCAUUUGUCAUUGAUUGGCCCAACGUGCAAGUCGAUCUAGAUCUGAUUGCAAAGCUUCUUCGUUGAGUGUCGCAGUUACUUUACUAGCAAUUUUUGUGUCAUCAGCAAAUUUUGAUACUUUGCAAGUGAGCCCAUCAUCGAUAUCAUUAACAUAAAUUAAGAAGAGCAUGGGGCCAAGCACUGAUCCUUGAGGUAUGCCGCUUUUGACAUCAAGCCAGUUAGAUGUAACACCGUUUAGAACUACUCUCUGUUUCCGCUCAGAGAGCCAAUUGUGAAUGUUACCCGAGAUACCGUGCGCCAGUAGUUUGCUGAGCAAUCGUUGGUGGGGGACCUUAUCAAAUGCCUUUUGAAAAUCCAGAUAUAUGAUAUCUACUGAUCUGCUUUCAUCGAACACCUCAAAAAUAUAGUGAAAAAAAUCAAGUAAGUUAGUCAAACACGAACGUUACUACGGAAGCCAUGUUGCGAAUUAUUUAUUAUAUUACUUUCUUUGAAGAAUUUCACCAUAUUGUUGCGAAUGAUAGUCUCCAUUAACUUACAAACAAUCGAUGUCAGGCUAAUUGGUCGAUAGUUUCCUGGAUGAGACCUGUCCCCCUUUUUGAAAAUUGGUGUGACAUUUGCAAGUUUCCAAUCCGACGGAACUUUUCCAGCUGUUAAAGAUUUAUUGAAUAUGAUGGAGAGCGGUUUACAAAUUUGAUGUUUGAUUCCUUUUAAGACCCUAGGGGUAAUUUUGUCUGGACCAGGAGCUUUGCUUACUUUAAUCUUUUCAAUUGUGCGUAAAAUGUCACUUUCUACGAUGAGCACGCCACUUAACAUCUUUUCGGCCCUUCUAACCUCCGGCGGUUGAGGUGAUAAACAAUCUUCGUCAGUAUGUCCUAUGGCUUUGAAAUUUUAGUAUGUUGUUUGUUGGUGUAAGUGUAUGACAUUCUGUGAAUUUUGUGAAAUUUGGGUGAAUGUGUAGAGGAGACUCAAACAAAGCAUAAAAUCUUAUUUUUGUUUCACAGACUUUAGUUGAAAAAAAUAUACCAUAGAAACUUUGUGUAUAGAUCUACAUUUAUCAUUUUGUAAUUUUUAAAAAAAAAUUUUCUGGCUUAAAAAAAUUGAAAUUCAUUUUCACUAAUAAUUUUCUCCACUUUUUCUCCCGUUUUCUUUUUACAUUUUUAAAAAAUGUACAAAAUGAGAAAAAUUGCCGUUUAGUUGUAGAUUAUAUUGAUACCUUACAAAUGACUGUCAGACGUUUUGUCGAUUUUUUGAAAUUUUUUGAAG